CCUACGGGUGGCAGCAGUGGGGAAUAUUGCACAAUGGGCGCAAGCCUGAUGCAGCCAUGCCGCGUGUGUGAAGAAGGCCUUCGGGUUGUAAAGCACUUUCAGCGGGGAGGAAGGCGGUGAGGUUAAUAACCUCAUCGAUUGACGUCACCCGCAGAAGAAGCACCGGCUAACUCCGUGCCAGCAGCCGCGGUAAUACGGAGGGUGCAAGCGUUAAUCGGAAUUACUGGGCGUAAAGCGCACGCAGGCGGUCUGUCAAGUCGGAUGUGAAAUCCCCGGGCUCAACCUGGGAACUGCAUUCGAAACUGGCAGGCUAGAGUCUUGUAGAGGGGGGUAGAAUUCCAGGUGUAGCGGUGAAAUGCGUAGAGAUCUGGAGGAAUACCGGUGGCGAAGGCGGCCCCCUGGACAAAGACUGACGCUCAGGUGCGAAAGCGUGGGGAGCAAACAGGAUUAGAUACCCGAGUAGUC
rnacentral:rRNA from 1 species